AUUGAACGCUGGCGGCAUGCCUUACACAUGCAAGUCGAACGGCAGCACGGGAGCAAUCCUGGUGGCGAGUGGCGAACGGGUGAGUAAAGUAUCGGAACGUGCCCAGUCGUGGGGGAUAACGUAGCGAAAGUUACGCUAAUACCGCAUACGACCUAUGGAUGAAAGCGGGGGAUCGCAAGACCUCGCGCGAUUGGAGCGGCCGAUAUCAGAUUAGGUAGUUGGUGGGGUAAAGGCCCACCAAGCCGACGAUCUGUAGCUGGUCUGAGAGGACGACCAGCCACACUGGGACUGAGACACGGCCCAGACUCCUACGGGAGGCAGCAGUGGGGAAUUUUGGACAAUGGGCGAAAGCCUGAUCCAGCCAUGCCGCGUGCAGGAUGAAGGCCUUCGGGUUGUAAACUGCUUUUGUACGGAACGAAAAGGUUUGGCCUAAUAAGCUGAGCUCAUGACGGUACCGUAAGAAUAAGCACCGGCUAACUACGUGCCAGCAGCCGCGGUAA
rnacentral:rRNA from 1 species